GUGCCAGCAGCCGCGGUAAUACCGGCAGCCCGGGUGAUGGCCGAUCUUAUUGGGCCUAAAGCGUCUGUAGCUGGCUGCGCAAGUCCGUCGGGAAAUCCACCCGCCCAACGGGUGGGCGUCCGGUAGAAGCUGGCCGGCUUGGAACCGGAAGGCUCAGAGAGUACGUCCGGGGUAGGAGUGAAAUCCCGUAAUCCCGGACGGACUACCGAUGGCGAAAGCACUCUGAGAAGACGGCUUCGACAGUGAGGGACGAAAGCUCGGGUCUCAAACUGGAUUAGAAACCCUUGUAGUCC
rnacentral:rRNA from 1 species